rnacentral:rRNA from 1 species
UGGGGAAUAUUGGACAAUGGGCGAAAGCCUGAUCCAGCCAUGCCGCGUGAGUGAUGAAGGCCUUAGGGUUGUAAAACUCUUUCGCCGGGGAAGAUAAUGACGGUACCCGGAGAAGAAGCUCCGGCUAACUUCGUGCCAGCAGCCGCGGUAAUACGAAGGGAGCUAGCGUUGUUCGGAAUUACUGGGCGUAAAGCGCACGUAGGCGGGCUAUUAAGUCAGGGGUGAAAUCCCGAGGCUCAACCUCGGAACUGCCUUUGAUACUGAUAGUCUUGAGAUCGGGAGAGGUGAGUGGAAUUCCUAGUGUAGAGGUGAAAUUCGUAGAUAUUAGGAAGAACACCAGUGGCGAAGGCGGCUCACUGGCCCGAUACUGACGCUGAGGUGCGAAAGCGUGGGGAGCAAACAGGAUUAGAUACCCUAGUAGUCCCUGAGCGGGCUGGCAAGGCGCAU